UCAGUGGAGAGGUUGGUAGACUUAAAAGAUCAGUGUAGAGACUGGUGGAGAGCAGAGAGAGGGAUGGAGAGGAGGAUACUGAUGUCCUGAAGGAUGCAGCGGAGACAGAGAGUAACAGAAAGGGGGAGGAGGACAGAUAGAAAGACAGACAAAAGCAAAGUGUGUGUAGAGAUAGAGAUGAGGGAGAAAUAAAAAGGCAGAUCACGCAUCUGGGGUUGUCCUGGGGUUUAACAGUCUGGAGGAAGCCUGCUGGACUCCUGUCAGACGUCAAACAGCAGAUGGACACUCCAUGAAAGGCGGCGUAAAGUCCUCCAGCAGCCAUCUGUUGCAGUCAAAAUGGACGCUGCAACAGACGGCCAUCUUGGUUUCAGCGUGGGAGCAGAAGGACUGUACAUGCUGGAAGGCAAAGAGGGAGAUGAGGAGGGCAAUGGCAGUUUAGCUUCUUCGACACAUGCACCGCCUCAACCUGAAAUGCGUCAGUUUUCAUCGAUUUACUGUUGAGACACGCUGACACACAAUAUUUGUGCUGAAAAUUAAAGAGAGAAGCCAUGCUAGCAGCUCUGUGAGGCUGUACUUACAGUGCAGUGCUACGAGCUAAUUGCUAACGUCACUGCGACGAUGCUAACGUGCUGAUGUAUCGCAAGUAUAUAAGUAUGCUAACAAUUUCUAGUUAAGAUUAAACAAGCUACUUCUUUACAGGUAGUAACAUCUUACCACUGCAGUUGAAUCCACAAAAUAUUCUUAAGUUGUUUUAAAUACCAUCAUUUACACCCAUGUUUCCCAACAUUUUUGGCAUGCGAGCUCUUAAAAUGCAAGAUAUUGGCAGAGCAUUUAUGGGUGAAGGUGCAAGUGUGAAAUAGACUGCGUACUGUAUUGUUAGUAACUCUUCCUCUACUUGCCUAUUCACAUUUAAGAUGGUUUCAGGUGCAAUAUUAUAAUUUGAGGGAUUUCUUUGUAUUAGAACUGGAUUCUGAGUCACAUCCCCACCUGCAUCAUAUCAGCAGUGGCCAACACUGACGACACAUCUGGCACCCAGGGAACCUGCUUGUUUGUCAUAUUCCCUUUGCAUGAAGUUGAUUUCCUCCCUACCAUUUCCCGUCUUGGCUGAAAUGUGGCAGCUGGGCAGCCAUUUUGGCUCCAACCGGAGCUGCAGAGCCACAGGGCGCGCAGCGGUUGCUCAGUAGUCAGUGUAGAUCCUGUGGGGCUGGCAGCAGCUACAUCUGGCUACUGGGUCUCCGCUGGCAACCAUGUUAUUCAGGAUGCACGAGAAUGACAGGAAGGCUAAUGUUUAGCAGCAAUUGAAGGUUUCUAAUGAACUCUGUGGAGUAUUUUCAAAUGCAUUUGCAAUUCUAACAAGUGAUUUCCAUGUGUAUUUCACACACGCUCCUUGUGAUCUUUUGUGCCAUGCAGCUUUUAAAUUUCAAAGAAAUGACUUGAAAGCCCACCCACUGUGAAGAGAAACAACAGUUUAUCCUAGAUGCAUGGGUAGUUUAGUGAACAGAAGAAAUGAUUAUGUAAAAAAUAUAAAAAUAACAUCUUGAGAUACUGGGUAAGUUCUGGACCUGGCAUUCAGUGUAGGAUUCUGUGUGUGUCAGUCUACAGCUACAUUGUCUGCUGGGUUUCAGGUCUGUACUCAUUCACAUCAAAGCCUAUGUUUCACAAAUGGUUUUAUUGUUCAGUUAUUUACUGUAAAAGGACAAUAUCAAAUGAUUAUAGUAUUGUGGCAUGUUUGAGGAAUCAAAACGCAUGGAUAAUUUGACAACUUUGUGUUUAUUGACUCAUCAUAAAACAUUCUUCAAACAAUAAAACAAUUUUAAAUGUCCGUUUCUGUACAAUGCUUGCUAAGCAAUUUUAUUUAUAUAUAGAAAAUGUAAGAGGAGUUGUGUUAAAAUGACAAAACUCCUUCAAAUUUAAUGGCAGGUACUCUGGAAAAAAUAACAGCAUUCCAUCAACAAAUAUUUUCAAGCAAUAAAUAUGUAUUUAUAAAUAGUGUAAAUUUACAUCAAGAUUAGAAACAAAACGAAAAUCACAAAUUAAACUUUAUUUCAUAAGUCUAUGUGCAACCCAUUCUCUUUGUGACUUGGCUAGUAAGUUUUUUUUUCCUAAAUUUUUCCUUUUUUUACCUAAGAAAGUUUUGAAAAGAACAAGACAAAGAUAAAACAUAAAAGCUGUAAAAAAAAAAAAAAAAGAAAAGAAAGAAAUAAAAAGAAAAGGAAAAAUCACCUUAACUCUUCACAUUACAAUUUUUUUUUGGGGAGAUUUUGCUGUUCAAAGAGUCUUCAAAUGACUAUCUACCAUAGAAAAGACCAGUUAGGCUAGUGCUCCUUGGAAGGAAAACUGAAGAACAUUUGGGAAAAUUCUAUAAAUCAAAGCCAACAUUUUAUCCUGUUA